UACGUAGGGGGCAAGCGUUGUCCGGAAUUAUUGGGCGUAAAGAGCGUGUAGGCGGCCAGGUAGGUCUGCUGUGAAAACUCGAGGCUCAACCUCGAGACGUCGGCGGAAACCAUCUGGCUAGAGUCCGGAAGAGGAGAGUGGAAUUCCUGGUGUAGCGGUGAAAUGCGCAGAUAUCAGGAGGAACACCCGUGGCGAAAGCGGCUCUCUGGGACGGUACUGACGCUGAGACGCGAAAGCGUGGGGAGCAAACAGG
rnacentral:rRNA from 1 species